rnacentral:rRNA from 1 species
AUUGAACGCUGGCGGCAUGCCUUACACAUGCAAGUCGAACGGCAGCACGGGAGCAAUCCUGGUGGCGAGUGGCGAACGGGUGAGUAAAGUAUCGGAACGUGCCCAGUCGUGGGGGAUAACGUAGCGAAAGUUACGCUCAUACCGCAUACGAUCUAUGGAUGAAAGCGGGGGAUCGCAAGACCUCGCUCGAUUGGAGCGGCCGAUAUCGGAUUAGGUAGUUGGUGGGGUAAAGGCUCACCAAGCCGACGAUCUGUAGCUGGUCUGAGAGGACGACCAGCCACACUGGGACUGAGACACGGCCCAGACUCCUACGGGAGGCAGCAGUGGGGAAUUUUGGACAAUGGGCGCAAGCCUGAUCCAGCCAUGCCGCGUGCAGGAUGAAGGCCUUCGGGUUGUAAACUGCUUUUGUACGGAACGAAAAGGUUUGACUUAAUACGUUGGACUCAUGACGGUACCGUAAGAAUAAGCACCGGCUAACUACGUGCCAGCCGCCGCUGUAA